GACGAACGCUGGCGGCGUGCUUAACACAUGCAAGUCGAACGGAAAGACCCUGCUUUUGUGCGGUUCUCGAGUGGCGAACAGGGGAGUAACACGUGAGUAAACUGCCCUUAACUUUGGGAUAACUUCAGGGAACUGGGGCUAAUACCGGGUAGGAGCUCCUGCUGCAUGGUGGGGGUUGGAAAGUUUCGGCGGUUGGGGAUGGACUGGCGGCUUAUCAGCUUGUUGGUGGGGUAGUGGCUUACCAAGGGUUUGAAGGGUAGCCGGCCUGAGAGGGUGACCGGCCACAUGGGGCCUGAGAUACGGCGCAGACUCCUACCGGAGGCAGCAGGGGGGAAUAUUGCAGAAUGGGCGGAAGCCUGAUGCAGCAAUGCUGCGUGCGUGAUGACGGCUUUCGGGUUGUAAACCGCUGUCGCAGGUGACGAAGCGUGAGUGACGGUAAUGGGUAAAGAAGCACCGGCUAACUACGUG
rnacentral:rRNA from 1 species